AACGAACGCUGGCGGCAUGCCUAACACAUGCGAGUCGAACGAAGGCUUCGGCCUUAGUGGCGCACGGGUGCGUAACGCGUGGGAAUCUGCCCUUUGGUUCGGAAUAACAGCUGGAAACGGCUGCUAAUACCGGAUGAUGACGAAAGUCCAAAGAUUUAUCGCCAGAGGAUGAGCCCGCGUUGGAUUAGGUAGUUGGUGGGGUAAAGGCCUACCAAGCCGACGAUCCAUAGCUGGUCUGAGAGGAUGAUCAGCCACACUGGGACUGAGACACGGCCCAGACCCCUACGGGAGGCAGCAGUGGGGAAUAUUGGACAAUGGGCGCAAGCCUGAUCCAGCAAUGCCGCGUGAGUGAUGAAGGCCCUAGGGUUGUAAAGCUCUUUUACCCGGGAAGAUAAUGACUGUACCGGGAGAAUAAGCCCCGGCUAACUCCGUG
rnacentral:rRNA from 1 species